GGCGUCUUAAUCUUGCAGUAAUGUGAGAGUGAUUUUGUUCCGUGUGGAAGGCCUUACUGUGAUUUAAAGAUGAAGAACAGCAAAUAAAUCGCUGUUUCAUUGUUUUUCGUGUUUAUUUUGCUGUACAUCUACUGAUUUUGUGUCAUCGAUGGAUUACCCCACAUGCCUUUUUUCUACAACGUUAAACUGAAAAUAUAAAACUAGUAUUAAUUGAUGUGACAGCUGUAUGGUAAAUUUCUU
rnacentral:lncRNA from 1 species